GCUGGGUGUGGUGGCUCACACCUGUAAUCCUAGCACUCUGGGAGGCUGAAGUGGGUGGAUCACCUGAGGUCGGGAGUUCUAGACCAGCCUGGCCAUCAUGGUGAAACCCCAUCUUAAAAAAAAAAAAAGACAGGGUUUCACCAUGUUGGCCAGGCUGGUCUUGAACUCCCGACCUCAGGUGAUUUGCCUGCCUCGGU
rnacentral:SRP_RNA from 1 species